CAAAGGCAAGCUUUACUAGGGCAUGGGGGAAGAAAAGUAAGGAAGGAUUGCAUGAGAUGGAGAGUGUGCAAAGUGUGCUCCUGCACACCAUGGAACAGGUCCUUUAGGUUGGACUCAGCUCCACCAAGGGACAAAGGAGGAAGCAGAAGCAUACAUCACUACUUUCCCUGGGAGGUAUAAUCUGGAACAGAAUAUGUGCUAAUUAAAUGCUAAUAGUUCUAAAUAAAAGAUGUGGUAAUUUUUCUGAAAUAAUUAGGACUAGCCACCAGCACAGCACCAAGGGUGUGAUCAUUACCCCAUGCCGCCCUCCAUUCCACAUGGAGAAAAUCUCAUUUUCCCAAGGAAAUGAUUUCUUCAGUUUGAAUUAUGCCAGGCACAAUAAAUAUUACAGUCACUUCUCAAGGAAAACCAUAUCAAGCCUUCCGAGCUCUUUUUGGAGUAACAGUCACUACACUGUACUUGUUUGUAGAGAACCCAAACAUACCAUACUGAGUACCGGGAUGAACCUGCUAUACUCCCAAUAAUAGUGGAAGACACAAAUUAGAAAAAAACAACAAAAAUGCAGUCUGUACAUCCUACUCAUCGAGAAUGGUGUACCAGUCUGAAUCAAUCCCUCUUUAUGGUUGGAGGCACCAGUGGCAAGGCCCCAUGUUUUCCUUGAAGGCGAUGGAGGAGCCAGCGGGGCUGGUGCUGCAGUGGCUUGCUGCAUGCCAUUCUGCAGCUUAGGAGGGCUCUGGAUUCAGAAGGGUAUCAGGAGGGUAGAGAAGGGCUGUAGUCCUGAUUUUGUUCUGGGAAAAGCAUCUAGUUCACUGACAGAAGAUUAAGGCACAGUGUUUCCUUCCAUCUGCUGCUGAUUAAUGCAAUUCAAGGUCAUGAGAACUUUUAGUUAAGAAUUUCUUGAUUUUUUUUUUUUAACAUCUGUGUCACUUAAUUGGGUUAAUGUAACUCUAAAAUUUAAUUGGAUUAACGUAAGUACAUAAAUCAUGAAGUACUCGCUUCACAAAGGUUAACAGCAGUACAUUGGUUCUCACAGAUAAAACAGAUUUCACAAGUUCAGUUCUGAUUUCAUUUGUACUCUUUAAAAUUACCUCCUGUACAAAUUACUAUUAUUCCCUUAUGAUGAACCCAACUACAUGCAUUGAAGAGGCAAGUGAUGGAUUGAGCCAAUCAGCAUCUUCCACAUCAAUUCCAGUACUCAAAGAAUUGUUGGAUUUUUACGUAGGGUUCCUGAAAGUAAUGCUUCCUUGUUUCCACAGGUACCAUAACAGCACAAAAACACUAUAGGAUAGAGCAAAUUCUCAGAUACAAAACACCGUUUUUCAGUGUAGUCACUACCAUUAGUUGUGCAUUUUCACCAGCAAUGAACAAGAGCCUGCAUGCUGCACUCAAAAAUCUGCACCAGUGGAGGCGACCCACUGUCACUGUUGCCACUGCUGAAGUGCACACCACUCACUGCCUCACUCUGCUUAUAUCCACUAUUUGGUCUCCAGAAUUGUUCAGCAAGCAUCAGCAAAUGUCAGUGUGUUCCUUCCACCCCGACCCCCCCCCCGGCCUCCCCCAUCCUUGCAUAGAGGAAUUCCAUUCCACAGUUUUGAAUCACAUGCACUUCCAUGUCAGACAUCAUUUUGUCAGACUGCCCCCCUCCGCUGCCAUCUGUCACACAGCAACAACAUGUAAUGGAAUAUUGGUGGGAAGGUUCAACCUCUACUGCCAUACCACCAGAAUCUGCCUGUGACAUCAUGGGCCAACAUAAUAAAAUAGGGGACAUUACUUUUGGUGUGGCCCUCAUAAUUACCAAUUGGCCUCUCUAAUUUCUAGCUGCUACCUCUUGCUUUGCCUUUCUCCAAUGUAAGGCAUGUUAGAGAGUCUGAGCAUUUAUACAUGGGUUAGUGAACCCCUGGUUUCAAAAGGUACCCUCACAGAAGUGCAGUGCUGGACAUAGAGGAUGCUUGCAUACACAAGAUUUCUGAUUUCUCUCAUUUUAAGGUUGGGACUUGAGGUUCUUAGGCUCCAAUAUAUUUCCACUUGUUACACUGCAAAAUUUCUCUUAAUUCAGAGAACAAUUUUUAUGAUUGCUCUGUUUUUGGCCAGCCUGUAAAAGACCAUAAUAUAUUGUUUUUCCCUAACGACUACUGGGAUUUUCUAAUAAAUCUAACGGCUAAAUUAAGAGUUUUCUCUGGUUCAUUCUUACAAUUUUUUCCAGAAAUAAG
ensembl:lncRNA